rnacentral:rRNA from 1 species
UACGUAGGGUGCAAGCGUUAAUCGGAAUUACUGGGCGUAAAGGGCGCGUAGGCGGGAUGGCAAGUCGGUCGUGAAAUCCCUCGGCUCAACUGAGGAUCGUCGAUCGAUACUGCCGUUCUUGAGGAUUGCAGAGGAGACUGGAAUUCCCGGUGUAGCGGUGAAAUGUGUAGAGAUCGGGAGGAACACCGGUGGCGAAGGCGGGUCUCUGGGCAAUUCCUGACGCUGAGGCGCGAAAGCGUGGGGAGCAAACGGG